rnacentral:lncRNA from 1 species
GUAGUUGUUGUAGUAGCAGAACUUGGUGUUGGUGGAGCGGCAGCGCGGGCACUCCAGCUGCUGCUGCUGCCUCGUCUGCCGGCCCUUGCGCACGGCCUCGUCGCCCUGCCAUGCCACCCACAACCGCACGCGUCAGUGAUGAUGAUGGGGUACUGGGUACACUGAUUCGCAGACGCGGUAACUGCAUGCCGUCUUCGGUGGAUCGAGAUCGACCGCGCUAGCUGCAACUGCAACUGACCUGCUGUUGGAGCGCGGAGGAGUCGAGCGAGAGCUCAGCGUCGGAAUCGGCCGGGCGCUUGGAAGCACCAGCGGCGGCGGCGGUGGCCGAGAGGAUCGAAGCUGCAGGCGCCAUCUCCCGGGCGAGCAGAACCGCGCAUGCCGAGGACGGACGACGGCGUCGGCGUCGGCUUAAUAGACGCCCAGCAGCGAUCCGGCCGAGAGCUAGCAGCUGGUCUCACUCACCACCUCGUUAGCUUCCCGGGUGACCUGGUAGGAG